GCGCGCCCCUUCCCGGGCAGUUCCUCUCGGCGCCCCCGAGUCCUCCCCGCGCGCCGCUUCCCGGGUGGGCCCUUCCACCAGAGCCCCCUGGUAGAUCCUCCCCUGGUGCCCUGGGGGUAGAGGGGAGAUCCUCCACAAGGGUCAUUUCCCUGGUGAUCCCUCCCUGUGCCCCACAGGUGAGUCCUGCCGUAGCUCUCCAGGGGUUCCUCCUGAUGCUGGGGUCCUCCGGCAUUCCUCCCUGAGCCCCCCAAGGGCCCUGAAGCUCAGCGGCCCAGCCCUGGCCUCGGGGUCCCCACCCCACACCUCCCUUCCAGGCCUAACCUUUGCCCCCGACACCAGGCAGGGCGUGUCCUUGGCCUUCGCCGCCCAGCCCGCGUGGCAUCUCUGGACAGGUGGCCGUGCGCGCCUUGGUGUGGGCAGGCUCCGUAGCCGGCAAAGCCUCCCUGAACCGUGACCUGGUGAGAAGGCCACAGAGGAGGUGCCUGUGCCCAGAGGCCACCUCCAAAGACCCCACCUGAGGCUGGAACCCAGCGCCUGCUGACCCCGCCAGCCCCAACAGGGCUGGAGUCCAGGAGCGGCCGUGCUCUUUCCGCAGUGAGGCAGCUGCCUUCUCUUCCCACCACCUGUCAGGAUGCCUUCCCGUGUGUGCUUGUGCACAGGUCUAAGGAGAGGAGAGUCCAGUGACCCAGACGCCCCAGCCAGGAAGAGCAUGAGGACAUGGAGCGGAGCGUUCAGGGCUAUCAGGAGGGAGCCCCGUGGCCACGGUGCAAGAUCUAGGCAGGCGGGACAGACAUGGUCAGGAUGCUGGGGACACAGCAUGGGGAAUCCAGCACACAGGACACCAUCCAGGAAAGCAAAGCUGCGGCCUGAGAUCUCCUUCCACCAACUCCUGGCAUGGCCAGAAAGUUAGCCAGAAACACCAGAAAGUGCCAGGCAGCUAGGAAGCAUGGGGAGAGCCCCCCGAAGCUGCGUGUGUAGUGCCUGCUUCCGCUGCCAUCCCAGAAAUGGACGAACUUCUCCCUGAGAACCCAGCCACGCCACUGGGACACAUCCUGACAGUGACACGCACACUCUCCCCUGGCCCCAGCCUGGAGAGGAGCCUCCUGAAGACACCAGCCUUUGCUCCUUCUCCCAGUGGGAGUGGAGAGAACUGACUGCUGGAGUGGAGACAGUCAAGGCUGUCCUGAGGGAGCACAGCACAGGGUCUGGUGUCCCAGGGAGGCAAUCUGAAAUUCAAGCCAGGCCUCCCCAGCGGAGAGGACACACCCCUCACCAUGCAGAGUGACAUUUAGUAAACUCUCAAAAGAGAGCACAGAGCCCCGCUCCUCCAGCCGACCCCUACUCUGCCUCCCCACUCCAGACCAGUGAAAAAGGUGGAUUGCCCUUAAGCCAGCUCAGAGGCAAAGUCCAAAGACCUCAGGUGAGUCAAACAAUAAAAACAAAGAAUUAAGAAGAAUCCAGCCGGGUGCGGUGGCUCACGCCUGUAAUCCCAGCACUUUGGGAGGCUGAGGCGGGAGGAUCACGAGCAGGAGAUCGAGACCAUCCUGGCUAACACGGUGAAACCCCGUCUCUACUAAAAAUAGAAAAAAUUAGCUGGGCGUGGUGGCGGGCGCCUGUAGUCCCAGCUACUCCGGAGGCUGAGGCAGAAGAAUGGCGUGAACCCAGGAAGCGGAGCUUGCAGUGAGCCGAGAUCGUGCCACUGCACUCCAGCCUGGGCGACAGAGCGAGACUCCGUCUCCAAAAAAAAAAAAAAAAAAAAAAAAAAAAUCCAUCCACUCCAUCCACUUAGUAGCAGAGCGAAUAGACAUUCAGGAAAGAGCUUUCACGUCAGAAAGCACUACAGAAGUAGUGGCAUAUCCCCGGAGGCUGAGGUGGGAGCAUUGCUGAGAGGUGGCACGUGACCACAUCCAUGUCAUUCAACAACAGAAAAACAAGUCAGCGAGGGUGUGAGGGGCCGGUGAGAAACCCAGUAUGGAAGAAAACACAACUGGGCUGAGCGUGGUGGCUCACGCCUGUAAUCCCAGCACUUUGGGAGGCCAAGGCAGGAGGAUCACCUGAGGUCAGGAGUUCGAGACCAGCCUGGUCAACAUAGUGAAACCUCAUCUCUACUAAAAAUACAAAAAAAUUAGCUGGGUGUGGUAGCGCAUGCCUGUAGUCCCAGCUACUCAGGAGGCUGAGGCAGGAGAAUUGCAUGAACCCAGGAGCCGAGACCACACCACUGCACUCCAGCCUGGGGGCGGCACAGUGAGACUCCGUCUCAAAGAAACAAAAAUAAAAA
rnacentral:antisense_RNA from 1 species